UGCACACAUGCAGAAAGCACAUUGACAGCAAAAGAAAUGCACAUGCGGACAGCAGCAAAGCAAAACCAUGCAUGGGACCAACCUGAACGUGCAGCAACCUCAUUCGGACAGCACACAGCAACCAACUCACACCAGCUCACACAAGCAGAACACUCAUUCGGGCAACACACAUGCAGAAAGAAAUUCACACGAACUUGCAGUAGAUCGGCAGAAGAAUAAAGCAGCGCCUGGCCUUCAACUUUGACAGAACAGAACCAUGCACAUGCAGCAGCAGAUUUGUUCUCUCUUUUCCGAGUAGCUGGACGUGCAGUGGUAGCCUUUAGCAUCUGGGGCAGCAGGAGAACACAUGGGUUAGCUGGAGCAGCUGGACGUGCAGCUAUUUAUAGCUGGUAGCAGCAGCAGCAAAAGGGGAGGAGUUUUUUUCGAAAGGGAGUUCGAUAGCUUAGCUUAAAGUUUUCUUUCAUGCUUUUCGUUCAGACAUAGAAGAAGCACGGCAGUUGCAGUUUCAGUUCUUUACUUAUUUUCUUUUCUGUUUAGAAGAAGCAGUUUUCAGUUUUAGAUUUCAGUUCUUUACUUAUUUUCUUUUCUGUUUAGAAGAAGCAGUUUUCAGUUUUAGAGUUCA